AAUUGGGUCAAUGGGAGCAAGCCUGGACUCUCCAAUCCAAAUGUAGGGGAAUACCCUAUGGGUUGUAAUCUAUUUUUAUACAAGAAGAAACUACAUCUGUGUAUGGAGCUGAUCGUAUCGUAAGAAAAAACUCUAGUAACUCCCCGCCAGCAGCCGCGGUAAGACGAAUGGUGCAACCGUCAUCUCGAUUUAAAAGGUAUAAAGAGGGGGUAGGGUGAUGAAUAUCUCAGAUGAGAAAUCUUACAUCUUAACUGUAGAACCGCCAUUGAAACUGGUCAUUUUGAAUUUAGUAAGCUAGCCGGAAUGUGUAGUUUAGCGGUGAAAUGAUUAGAUAUUAACCAAAACACCGCUUGGGAGGCCAGCCUACAAGAUAAAAUGACACUGAGGCACGAAAGCGGGGGGAGCGACCAGGAUUUGUACCCUCUAGCCACCCCCUA
rnacentral:rRNA from 1 species